rnacentral:lncRNA from 1 species
UGCAAUUGGACCCAAAAUGGAGCCAGAUCAAGAAGAAAUGAUGAACAAAUGAAAUGAUGAGCCUGUUGCUAAGACUUUUUCAACCUGUGUGCUGUCAACGUGUCAGGCUCUAAAGGUCUAUGUAUUGGAGGAUGUUUAGCUGCCUUCUGAUUCCUGUCCACUAGAUGUCCUUCAUAAAUGAUUCCCAAGUUGUCUCACCAUUUACAAGAUUCAUUACAGGACCUACAUUCUUUGAAAACUAACAUUCUUUUGGAACAAACUAAGGAAAUACCAUCUUGGAACAACAAGUGAACAUUGUCACUCUGCCGUGACUAGGUCUGGUAGAAACUACUACCCCAGGUAUCGGAACUUGGAG